rnacentral:rRNA from 1 species
AUGUGAAAUCUAUGGGCUCAACCCAUAAACUGCAUUUGAAACUGUAGAGCUUGAGUGAAGUAGAGGCAGGCGGAAUUCCCCGUGUAGCGGUGAAAUGCGUAGAGAUGGGGAGGAACACCAGUGGCGAAGGCGGCCUGCUGGGCUUUAACUGACGCUGAGGUACGAAAGCGUGGGUAGCAAACAGGAUUAGAUACCCUGGUAGUCCACGCUGUAAACGAUGAUUACUAGGUGUGGGGGGUCUGACCCCUUCCGUGCCGGAGUUAACACAAUAAGUAAUCCACCUGGGGAGUACGGCCGCAAGGUUGAAACUCAAAGGAAUUGACGGGGGCCCGCACAAGCAGUGGAGUAUGUGGUUUAAUUCGAAGCAACGCGAAGAACCUUACCAGGUCUUGACAUCCAACUAACGAAGUAGAGAUACAUUAGGUGCCCUUCGGGGAAAGUUGAGACAGGUGGUGCAUGGUUGUCGUCAGCUCGUGUCGUGAGAUGUUGGGUUAAGUCCCGCAACGAGCGCGACCCUUGCUAUUAGUUGCUACGCAAGAGCACUCUAAUAGGACUGCCGUUGACAAAACGGAGGAAGGUGGGGACGACGUCAAAUCAUCAUGCCCCUUAUGACCUGGGCUACACACGUACUACAAUGGAUGUUAACAGAGGGAAGCAAGACAGUGAUGUGGAGCAAACCCCUAAAAACAUUCUCAGUUCAGAUUGCAGGCUGCAACCCGCCUGCAUGAAGAUGGAAUUGCUAGUAAUCGCGGAUCAGAAUGCCGCGGUGAAUACGCUCCCGGGCCUUGUACACACCGCCCGUCACACCAUGGGAGCCGGUAAUACCCGAAGUCAGUAGUCCAACCUCGUGAGGACGCUGCCGAAGGUAGGAUUGGCGACUGGGGUG